rnacentral:piRNA from 1 species
GUCAACUUCUUUGGCACACUCAGUAACUA